rnacentral:lncRNA from 1 species
GCAAAUUAUUAGGUUUUAGAUUAAGAGAUCGAACAAGUGUUAAAUUACACUAAAAGGAAAGGGAAAUGAUCAAAAUUUUGCUUUGACAUUUCAGAAUUGACCAGGUCACAUAAAAAAAAAAGAAGAAGAAAGAUUUAGAAGAAAAGAGGAUUGGCAAGGUAUUAAUGACGAACCAAAAGAAAUUGUCUCGACAGAAUCAAAGUGAAAAAUAACGAAAUGGAAAAGGAAACUGUGGCCGCAAAGUAAUCCAUCUUUUUCCUGUAUGGCUUCUACGAAUGAGACAGN